AGUGAACGCUGGCGGUAGGCCUAACACAUGCAAGUCGAACGGCAGCACAGUAAGAGCUUGCUCUUACGGGUGGCGAGUGGCGGACGGGUGAGGAAUACAUCGGAAUCUACUUUUUCGUGGGGGACAACGUAGGGAAACUUACGCUAAUACCGCAUACGAUCUACGGGUGAAAGCAGGGGAUCUUCGGACCUUGCGCGAUUGAAUGAGCCGAUGUCGGAUUAGCUAGUUGGCGGGGUAAAGGCCCACCAUGGCGACGAUCCGUAGCUGGUCUGAGAGGAUGAUCAGCCACACUGGAACUGAGACACGGUCCAGACUCCUACGGGAGGCAGCAGUGGGGAAUAUUGGACAAUGGGCGCAAGCCUGAUCCAGCCAUACCGCGUGGGUGAAGAAGGCCUUCGGGUUGUAAAGCCCUUUUGUUGGGAAAGAAAAGCAGCAGGUUAAUACCCCGCUGUUCUGACGGUACCCAAAGAAUAAGCACCGGCUAACUUCGUG
rnacentral:rRNA from 1 species